GGGCGGAUGGUUUAGUGGUAUAAUUUUCCCUUAGCAUCAACCUCUCCAACAAACUUGGCAGCGGUUCAGCUUCCUCCCUGGGAAAGGUCCGGGGUUCGAUUCCCCGUUCGUCCA
rnacentral:tRNA from 1 species